rnacentral:tRNA from 1 species
UUUGGGGCUGAGAUCUCCUCUCCAUCGGGAUUAGAACCCACGGGCCGGUGGUCGCCCAUCCUCUGCCCUUAAGCGCUUAGUACAGUGCUUGCACACAGUAAUCGCUUAAUAAAAACAUGGCCGAAUUGGUCCCAGUUAGACGAUGGGUUCCAUGUGGAUUGUGUCCAACCUGAAUACCUUGAAUCGACCCCGGUGCUUAGAAUAGUGCUUGACACAUAAGGUCAUUAUAAAAUAACUGUAUACUUAAUUUAAAAAGUUAAUAGCGAAUAAAUGAGAGAAACUACAGGGAGCGAUUUGAGGGAACAGGGUACAAUUUUAGGGAGCGUAGAUUCCCUGGUGGUCUAGUGGCUAGGAUUCGGCGCUUUCACCGCCGCGGCCCGGGUUCGAUUCCCGGUCAGGGAAAUCCAUUUUUCACCAUGAUCCGUUGUUCUCAUUCAAUCCCCUCUCUCCCAUUUGCCUAUUUGACCUUUUAGGGAAUUGAGGGAACCCGAGCUCACUGUGGUCACCACGCUGAGGCGAGCCAGGGGAGGGCAAAGGAAGUCGUUCACUCCUGCUCCUAUGGACCUCUCCCUUGCUCGGUUUAUAGAACACGGUAAGAGCUCAGUAAGUCAUACUGAUGAAUUGAUUGCUUAUAGGUUUUGAGGACCGUUUUGACGAUUGCAGAAUUGUGGAAAACCUCUCGGUGCUGGCUGAAUAAUCAUUUACCCUUGGUGUCCUAUUGAGAUUCAUCAAGGAAAAGGAAGAUGGAAAUGGACACCGGUUUCUAUGUGGCCAGGAAUCCUUGGAUCCCGUGUCAUUCUCCGCAGAUCCUCGCGGCUGAGGCCUCGGAGGAAAUUCCUUAAAAACCCAGGACCGGCCCAGUUCCUUUCGGAAACCCUCAGGGGUUCCAGUUUGCUUCAUUCAUUCAUUCAAUCGUAUUGAUUGGGCGCUUACUGUGUGCACAGCACGGUAUUUAAGCGCUUGGAAAGUACAACUCGGCAACAAAUAGAGACAACCCCUACCCAACAACAGGCUCACGGUCUAGAAGCGGGGGAGGCAGACAACAAAACCAAACAGGUACAGGUAAACGGGCAUCGAUAGCAUCAAUAGAAAUAGAAUGAUAGAUAUUUGCACAUUUAUUAACAAAAUAAGUAGAAUAAUAUGUACAUAUAUAUAUAUCCAAG